rnacentral:rRNA from 1 species
CUUCCGGAGCUAACGCGUUAAGUCGACCGCCUGGGGAGUACGGCCGCAAGGUUAAAACUCAAAUGAAUUGACGGGGGCCCGCACAAGCGGUGGAGCAUGUGGUUUAAUUCGAUGCAACGCGAAGAACCUUACCUGGUCUUGACAUCCACAGAACUUUCCAGAGAUGGAUUGGUGCCUUCGGGAACUGUGAGACAGGUGCUGCAUGGCUGUCGUCAGCUCGUGUUGUGAAAUGUUGGGUUAAGUCCCGCAACGAGCGCAACCCUUAUCCUUUGUUGCCAGCGGUCCGGCCGGGAACUCAAAGGAGACUGCCAGUGAUAAACUGGAGGAAGGUGGGGAUGACGUCAAGUCAUCAUGGCCCUUACGACCAGGGCUACACACGUGCUACAAUGGCGCAUACAAAGAGAAGCGACCUCGCGAGAGCAAGCGGACCUCAUAAAGUGCGUCGUAGUCCGGAUUGGAGUCUGCAACUCGACUCCAUGAAGUCGGAAUCGCUAGUAAUCGUGGAUCAGAAUGCCACGGUGAAUACGUUCCCGGGCCUUGUACACACCGCCCGUCACACCAUGGGAGUGGGUUGCAAAAGAAGUAGGUAGCUUAACCUUCGGGAGGGCGCUUACCACUUUGUGAUUCAUGACUGGGGUGAAGUCGUAACAAGGUAACCGUAGGGGAACCUGCGGUUGGAUCACCUCCUUACCUUAAAGAAGC